rnacentral:misc_RNA from 1 species
GAUGAAGAACGUAGCGAAAUGCGAUAAUUAAUGUGAAUUGCAGAAUUCAGUGAAUCAUCGAGUCUUUGAACGCACAUUGCGCCCCCUGGUAUUCCGGGGGGCAUGCCUGUCCGAGCGUCAUUGCUGCCCUCAAGCCCGGCUUGUGUGUUGGGCCUCGUCCCCCCUCCGCGGGGGACGGGCCCGAAAGGCAGCGGCGGCACCGUGUCCGGUCCUCGAGCGUAUGGGGCUUUGUCACCCGCUCUGUAGGCCCGGCCGGCGCCUUAGCCGACGACACAAUCUUUUUUUUCAGGUUGACCUCGGAUCAGGUAGGGAUACCCGCUGAACUUAAGCAUAUCAAUAAGCGGAGGA